rnacentral:lncRNA from 1 species
CAAGUAUUAGUGUCCACCACUAGUCUCAAAUAUAGUAAGCACAAGAUCUCUCUACAGUUAAUGGAGUGUUACACAUGCAUAUGUUUUACCCCAAUAUAUCCUAAAAUCCGUAGGAUACCCUUAUAUUUCAGGACAGAGGGUGCUCAUCUCUCUCAUGUUAUUAUAUAUAUACAGGAAGAAGUUACACGUGGAGGGCAAAUUAAGCUAGGCCCACACAACAUAGAAACAGUAUACAGCACACAUUGCCUGGGUAGGGAGGAACAGACAGGCUUAUUAUUCAUUGUGGGAGCAGGGACUGUGAUGGUUUGCAACUUGCAUCUGAGGGCAUGAUGUGAUCAUUGGUCAUUUGGUCCAAUGUAUCUAGCCCAACCAAGAGGGAUAGGGACCAGGUAUGUGUUAGGUUGGAUCAGAUGUACAUGUGCCACUGAAUGAACUCAUCACAGGAUAAGUAGCAAAGUAAACUGGAUAUCCUAAACUGGAAUCAUUGUGUUCCGCAAAAGUAAGUUUAGCCAAGCAAGGAAUGAGUACACGAGUGUGUCUAGUCAAAAGUUGGCCAUGAUUUAGUUAUGUUGUGUUGCUGGCCCAACAUUGGUUGUGACCUUAACUUUGACGACACUGCUUUAUUUACCACACAAAUGCUCGAAUCAGAUCGGCAUUCCCUCAGAAUGUCACCCUCUCUAUAAGUCCAAAAUGUACACUACACAUUCAAUUUGGUGUUGACAUAUUAUGAGUCCAUUGAAUUGAGUAAGUGCACUGUCAACAUGAAACAUGUCCAUCUAAGGGCAAUUUCUUCUUCAACCAUGAUUUAGCUAGGUUGGAACAGCUAAAGGGAUUGUAUACAUUUUGGCCUCCAACUAAAGUUUAGCUUGUGGAUCCAAACAAGACCUAAGAAAAAACUACAUAAAUGAUACAUUUGAUCUAAAUGUCAAAUAAAUUAGUGACUAGCAGUAGUGCAGUACCAGUACUUCAUUUGUCAAAUAUUCAUUAAACAAUAAACUAAUCAUCACACAUCACUUACCCAUAAUCUAUUUGUGAAUUCCAUUUGGCAAAACUUGAUGAUGUGUAAUAUGUCCCAUGCUAAGUUCUGGU